UAGACAUUUUCUGUCUCCUCACUUGUCCGGGGAAGACUGAAGUUUUUCUGAAACACAGAGAUGGGAAUCUGACCCUCUGAGCAGCCUCAGGAUUUUCUAAGUCUUCCAAGCAGAGUGGAAAUUCUGGAAAUCCAACUUCCAACUGAAUGUCUGGAUGAACUACUGACAGCCACUGAGUGUCCUGCAGCAGGUGAACUGUGGCCAGAGCCCAAGGAUGAAGGGGGCUCCCUCUGUCUGUGACUGUGAAGAGGAAGCCUGAGGUGAAGCAGACCCAGGCCCCAGAAGGAUGGAAAAAAUGAGGGUUGGACCCAAGAUUCUGUACUUCUAUGAAGCCCUGUGUUCUGUCCAGGUGUCAUUUACUCUCAGG